rnacentral:rRNA from 1 species
UACAGAGGGUGCGAGCGUUGUCCGGAAUCACUGGGCGUAAAGGGCGCGUAGGCGGCCUGAUAAGUAGGGGGUGAAAUCCUGUGGCUCAACUGCAGGGCUGCCUCCUAGACUGUCGGGCUUGAGCACGGUAGAGGCAGAUGGAAUUCCCGGUGUAGCGGUGGAAUGCGUAGAGAUCGGGAAGAACAUCGGUGGCGAAGGCGGUCUGCUGGGCCGUUGCUGACGCUGAGGCGCGACAGCUAGGGGAGCAAACAGG